GCACGGGUUUGGAUUUACGGCAGUCCCAUCCCCCUGGACAGCUCAUAGCGUCCCACUCCAGAGCAAACUGUAGCCCCGAAGCACUGCCUGGCCUUGUCCGUAGGCCAGGGCACUGAAGCAGGUUGCACAGUG
rnacentral:snoRNA from 1 species